GACGAACGCUGGCGGCGUGCUUAACACAUGCAAGUCGAACGGAAAGGCCCUGCUUUUGUGGGGUGCUCGAGUGGCGAACGGGUGAGUAACACGUGAGUAACCUGCCCUUGACUUUGGGAUAACUUCAGGAAACUGGGGCUAAUACCGGAUAGGAGCUCCUGCUGCAUGGUGGGGGUUGGAAAGUUUCGGCGGUUGGGGAUGGACUCGCGGCUUAUCAGCUUGUUGGUGGGGUAGUGGCUUACCAAGGCUUUGACGGGUAGCCGGCCUGAGAGGGUGACCGGCCACAUUGGGACUGAGAGACGGCCCAGACGCCUACGGGAGGCAGCAGUGGGGAAUAUUGCACAAUGGGCGGAAGCCUGAUGCAGCAACGCCGCGUGCGGGAUGACGGCCUUCGGGUUGUGAACCGCUUUCGCCUGUGACGAAGCGUGAGUGACGGUAAUGGGUAAAGAAGCACCGGCUAACUACGUG
rnacentral:rRNA from 1 species